CAAAACCCCAAGACAUUGUUUUCCAGUACAUGAGCAGAAGCUUUUGGCUGCUGCAGAGGAGUUCCCCCCCUGUCUCAUAUGAAGCUGAUGUAAAGCAUUUGCCGAUGCCUUGAUGUUCUCCCACCCAAAGGGAAUUAAUCGCUAAGAUGGAAUGAAGAGCACAGCACGGAGAGCAGGCAUGGUCCAGACCUCACCGGACUAAUUAUGCUCUUAAAGGGACUGGUCAGUCACAGAAGCUGCUCUGGAAACGCCUGCAAGAGAGGGGAGAAACAGCCCAAUGGGAGAGGUGGGAAGCGAAGCCAGGGAAGGCGCGAAGCUGUGGGCAGAGCAAAUGAAAAAUGUAUCAUCACAACACUGAAUUAAGAGUCAAGGAAAAUACUGUUGGUAAGAAGCUGGAUACGCUGAAGAUAUUCAAGACUGACGGACCAGAACCUCUUGCAUCCAUACCUGCGACGAAUGAAAAAGAUCAACAACUUAUGCCAAUACAUAGUUUGGGAAGGAGAGAACUACCCAAAAUUACAGACUAUGCUGGAAGAUGUUCUGCAAGUGCUGAGUGAUUCUUCUGUCAGGAAAUAGUGCAUUUGGUGUUUUAAAGAACGGGAGCUACAUCUGAACGUCAGAGCCCACUGCUCACUACGAUCAGGCAGGAGCAGAGGUUUAAGAGCAACAUCAGCCUCUCUUCGGUGCUGAAGGCUUGAUGAGCCCGAAGGGUCCCUAGUGCCAGUCAUGUCCUGGCAGACUUUAAAAAAAUAACGUGGAGCCAGUGCGUUCAUCUGGCAGAGCUUCACAACUUUGACAAGCAGGGGGAACCUGAAAUUGUUGCGGGAGCCCGAGUAUGCAGUUUGGAACUCUACACGUUGGAACAAGAGUGGGCUUUGACCAAGUAAAUCUGGGAAGGUUUUUCUGUUCAUUAACAAUCCGAGACCAUUAUUUCAAAAGGAGUAGUAUGCUUUUGGCUGUGUGUGUUAAUGUGUCUUCAAACUGCCAAGCUUUCAGGGAAGGAGAAGAGAUACUUAGAAGAAGAAAAUAUCCUUCUGGGUGCAGGUGGAGCAGGAAGCAAGCAAGACAUACGGUAACCUUUGGUAAAUUUGUGCUGCUGUCCUGCAGCCUGCAUGACCCUU